UAUUAAGAAGAAAAGCAACUUACUUUUUGCUCACUUUCCUUGUAGGUUUUUAUUUCACUUAUGGUACUCCCCCCAUCAACCCAUUAAAUAUUUCCCCCAGGUUCUGCUUUUGUUCUCUUCUUUCCUCCGGGUGGGUGGAACAGCAUGUGUGAAGUAAUCAGAAGUCAGGUUAAAAUUGCUGUCGAUUCCACCUCUAAAAUAUCUCCCAAAUGGUUUCCCUCACUAAAUUUGUAAUAGGACUACAGCCUGCCAGCUUGUUCCUGGUCUUCACUUGCUCCUCCU
rnacentral:lncRNA from 1 species